GCUGCGACCCAAUGCAUAUUGCCUGUGUGGCGUUUUAUCAGUUGAAAUGUAGUUCAGGUGAAAUGAUACCUAGGUAGAAGCAUGUUGGUUUGUUUACUCAUGAUUUGAACACGCCUUUGUUGGUGCUUGCUCGGGUGACGACUUAUGUGAUAUCAGAACUUAUACACAGUAUCAAGGCCUCCAUGUGCUGUGUGGAGUGAAGGUGUCGCCCCACUUGAACUGAAUAACCAGGCCCUGUACGAGUCGGCGUCCGGCCACCUGUAGCAAACGAUGACAGAAGAUGGGGAAAGACUUCAUAGCAGAUAAAAAUCCAACUGCUUUGAAGAUUUGAAGAGACAAAUUGUGUUGACCGAUGUGUGCUACUUGUCAAAAUGUUUGCACAUGCGCAGACAAAGAACUCUGGCGUUUCCGGUCGAAACGUAAUGUCAAGGUCGGCCCGUGGCCCAGUCAGCUUCGUUGACGUAUCAUUGGACGGGAGUUAUAUAACGAUUGAGAACACCACAACUGGGUCUAAGGCAAAGUCGGUGCAGCUGGAUGGAUGGACUUUGAGAAAAAAGAGAAAAAAACAACCCGAUAUCCUCUACAAAUUCGGCGACUACAUCCUACAUCCGGGUGUUAAACUCAGAAUCUACAGUCGCUGUAGCCCACCUGCGCUCCGACAAGACAUCGGUUGUGACUACAUCAUCAAUUACGACGUUUUCAACUGGGGAUUCGGCGCGACUACCGUGUAUCUCUAUAAUGACGAAAAGAAAGAAAAGGCUUCACUGACGUCAACAAUCAUUUCUCUAUAGGGCGGUCCCUCAUACAUAGUUGAUAAACACUAAACGUUAGACCAUGACCACAAACUUCCGUGAAUCAAAACAUCUGAAUUGUAUUAUAUUGAGCAACACAUAUUUGUAAUAUAUUGUAUUAAAUGCGAAUUCAUCUGA